UACGGAGGGUGCAAGCGUUAAUCGGAAUUACUGGGCGUAAAGCGCGCGUAGGCGGCUUGUUAAGUCGGAUGUGAAAUCCCCGGGCUCAACCUGGGAACUGCAUUCGAUACUGGCUGGCUAGAGUGUGGUAGAGGGAAGUGGAAUUCCAGGUGUAGCGGUGAAAUGCGUAGAUAUCUGGGGGAACAUCAGUGGCGAAGGCGGCUUCCUGGACCAACACUGACGCUGAGGCGCGAAAGCGUGGGGAGCAAACAGG
rnacentral:rRNA from 4 species